GAAAUGCGAUAAGUAAUGUGAAUUGCAGAAUUCAGUGAAUCAUCGAAUCUUUGAACGCACAUUGCGCCCCUUGGCAGUCCGAGGGGCAUGCCUGUUCGAGCGUCAUUUCACCAAUCAAGCCUGGCUUGGUAUUGGGCGCCGCGGGUCCCCCGCGCGCCUCAAAGUCCCGCCGGCCGAGCCGUCCGCCCCGUAGCGUUGUGAUAUACGAUUCGCUAGCGGGGUGCGGGCGGCCGCCGCCGUCAAAACAUCUAUUGAAGGUUGACCUCGGAUCAGGUAGGAAUACCCGCUGAACUUAA
rnacentral:misc_RNA from 1 species